ACGGAAGGCAGCAGUGGGGAGUAUUGGGCAAUGGGCGAAAGCCUGACCCAGCAACGCCGCGUGAAGGAAGAAGGCCUUCGGGUUGUAAACUUCUUUUACCAGGGACGAAGGACGUGACGGUACCUGGAGAAAAAGCCACGGCUAACUACGUGCCAGCAGCCGCGGUAAUACGUAGGUGGCAAGCGUUGUCCGGAUUUACUGGGUGUAAAGGGCGUGUAGGCGGAACUGUAAGUCAGAUGUGAAAUCCCGGGGCUCAACCCCGGAACUGCAUUUGGAACUGCAGUCCUUGAGUAUCGGAGAGGCAAGCGGAAUUCCUAGUGUAGCGGUGAAAUGCGUAGAUAUUAGGAGGAACACCAGUGGCGAAGGCGGCUUGCUGGACGACAACUGACGCUGAGACACGAAAGCGUGGGUAGCAAACAGGAUUAGAUACCCUGGUA
rnacentral:rRNA from 1 species